UAGUUGGUGGGGUAAAGGCCUACCAAGGCGACGAUCUGUAGCGGGUCUGAGAGGAUGAUCCGCCACACUGGAACUGAGACACGGUCCAGACUCCUACGGGAGGCAGCAGUGGGGAAUUUUGGACAAUGGGGGCAACCCUGAUCCAGCCAUGCCGCGUGAGUGAAGAAGGCCUUCGGGUUGUAAAGCUCUUUCGUCCGGGAAGAAAUCGCACAGGCUAAUACUCUGUGUGGAUGACGGUACCGGAAUAAGAAGCACCGGCUAACUACGUGCCAGCAGCCGCGGUAAUACGUAGGGUGCGAGCGUUAAUCGGAAUUACUGGGCGUAAAGCGUGCGCAGGCGGUUUUGUAAGACAGGCGUGAAAUCCCCGGGCUCAACCUGGGAACUGCGCUUGUGACUGCAAGGCUAGAGUACGGCAGAGGGGGGUGGAAUUCCACGUGUAGCAGUGAAAUGCGUAGAGAUGUGGAGGAACACCGAUGGCGAAGGCAGCCCCCUGGGCCGAUACUGACGCUCAUGCACGAAAGCGUGGGUAGCAAACAGGAUUAGAUACCCUGGUAGUCCACGCCCUAAACGAUGUCAACUAGGUGUUGGGUGGGUAAAACCAUUUAGUACCGUAGCUAACGCGUGAAGUUGACCGCCUGGGGAGUACGGCCGCAAGGUUAAAACUCAAAGGAAUUGACGGGGACCCGCAUAAGCGGUGGAUGAUGUGGAUUAACUCGAUGCAACGCGAAAAACCUUACCUACCCUUGACAUGUCCGGAAUCCCUGAGAGAUUGGGGAGUGCCCGAAAGGGAAUCGGAACACAGGUGCUGCAUGGCUGUCGUCAGCUCGUGUCGUGAGAUGUUGGGUUAAGUCCCGCAACGAGCGCAACCCUUGUCGUUAAUUGCCAUCAUUUAGUUGGGCACUUUAGCGAGACUGCCGG
rnacentral:rRNA from 1 species